rnacentral:sRNA from 1 species
AUGUCGCCCUUUCUCACUCAUACGCACGCUCAAUGAUCUCUGAAGCACCAAUUGCUCUUCGCUUUGGCUCUCUGCAUCUCACCAGAGUAAUACAGGAAGAUUUUUGUAGUAUUUCUACUUGCUGGAUGAUACUGAAAUAAUUAUUGGGAGUUUGAAGAAUUUCUGGUUUGUAUGAUAUAUUUGCUAAAAGACCCAAAAUUUUGAAGCAGAGCGGCGGUAUUUGAUAAGAAAAUCAUCUGAUGAGUCAAUGGAGUCGUCAUCGCCUCCAAAGGAGAACGAAAAAAGCUCGAAACAAGCUUGCGUAGAAAUCAACUUGGAAGAUCUUGCUGUUGAUCCCGGGCUGCGCACUCGAAUUUGGGAUUAGCAUCCCAGUUCAAGUUCGAGAGUAAGUUCGAAGAGCAUAUAUACAAAAGGGUCCUUUUCAGAGUCGAGACCAUGACUUCCCCAGCAAGAAUACUAGUGAGGGACCGAGAAAGUUUAUAUCUGCUUGGUUUAUGAUUUUCCGACUUGGUUGGUAUUGUCUAUGUUGUUAUCUGUUUAAGCUAAAUACAGGAGAGCAAGC